CGAACGCUGGCGGCAUGCCUAACACAUGCAAGUCGAACGAGAAAAUACCUUCGGGUAUGAGUAGAGUGGCGCACGGGUGAGUAACGCGUGGGAACCUACCGAGCAGUGGGGAAUAACCUUUGGAAACGAAGGCUAAUACCGCAUACGCCCUUCGGGGGAAAGAUUUAUCGCUGUUUGAUGGUCCCGCGUCUGAUUAGCUAGUUGGUAAGGUAAUGGCUUACCAAGGCGACGAUCAGUAGCUGGUCUGAGAGGAUGAUCAGCCACACUGGAACUGAGACACGGUCCAGACUCCUACGGGAGGCAGCAGUGGGGAAUAUUGGACAAUGGACGAAAGUCUGAUCCAGCAAUGCCGCGUGAGUGAAGAAGGCCCUAGGGUUGUAAAACUCUUUCAGAUGUGAAGAUGAUGACGGUAACAUCAGAAGAAGCCCCGGCUAACUUC
rnacentral:rRNA from 1 species